UCAUUGUUUCAUUGUUUCAUUGGUUCAUUGUUUCAUUGUUUCUCUUGAACAACAGAACUGAUUAUCAGAAGAUAAAGUACCGUAGGCGCACGAGGUGAAGAAAAGCAAUGAAAUGAAUGAAUGCAUUUCACCAAAGUC
rnacentral:ribozyme from 1 species